rnacentral:rRNA from 1 species
ACAGAGUGACAGGUGGUGCAUGGUUGUCGUCAGCUCGUGUCGUGAGAUGUUGGGUUAAGUCCCGCAACGAGCGCAACCCUUGAUCUUAGUUGCCAGCAUUUAGUUGGGCACUCUAAGGUGACUGCCGGUGACAAACCGGAGGAAGGUGGGGAUGACGUCAAAUCAUCAUGCCCCUUAUGACCUGGGCUACACACGUGCUACAAUGGACAGAACAAAGGGCUGCGAGACCGCAAGGUUUAGCCAAUCCCACAAAUCUGUUCUCAGUUCGGAUCGCAGUCUGCAACUCGACUGCGUGAAGCUGGAAUCGCUAGUAAUCGCGGAUCAGCAUGCCGCGGUGAAUACGUUCCCGGGCCUUGUACACACCGCCCGUCACACCACGAGAGUUUGCAACACCCGAAGUCGGUGAGGUAACCUUUAUGGAGCCAGCCGCCGAA